rnacentral:rRNA from 1 species
GAUGAACGCUAGCGGCAGGCUUAACACAUGCAAGUCGAGGGGCAGCGUAAUGAAGUAGCAAUACGGAUUUGACGGCGACCGGCGCACGGGUGCGUAACGCGUAUGCAACCUACCCAUAAUAGGGGGAUAACACUGAGAAAUUGGUACUAAUACCCCAUACUAGUUUAAAAGGCAUCUUUUAGAUUUGAAAGUUCAGGCGGUUAUGGAUGGGCAUGCGUUGUAUUAGCUAGAUGGUGAGGUAACGGCUCCCCAUGGCUACGAUACAUAGGGGGACUGAGAGGUUAACCCCCCACACUGGUACUGAGACACGGACCAGACUCCUACGGGAGGCAGCAGUGAGGAAUAUUGGUCAAUGGACGCAAGUCUGAACCAGCCAUGCCGCGUGCAGGAAGACGGCUCUAUGAGUUGUAAACUGCUUUUGUACAAGGGUAAACCCUGGGUACGUGUACCCAACUGCAAGUAUCAUACGAAUAAGGAUCGGCUAACUCCGUGUCAGCCGCCGCGGUAACAC